rnacentral:rRNA from 1 species
UACGUAGGGUGCGAGCGUUGUUCGGAAUUACUGGGCGUAAAGGGCUCGUAGGCGGCCAACUAAGUCAGACGUGAAAUCCCUCGGCUUAACCGGGGAACUGCGUCUGAUACUGGAUGGCUAGAGUUUGGGAGAGGGAUGCGGAAUUCCAGGUGUAGCGGUGAAAUGCGUAGAUAUCUGGAGGAACACCGGUGGCGAAGGCGGCAUCCUGGACCAACACUGACGCUGAGGAGCGAAAGCCAGGGGAGCAAACGGG